rnacentral:rRNA from 1 species
AUGAGAACACUUGCCAACGCUCGUCGGGAAGCCUGGCUCCAUUUAUUGAGAAGACUGAUGGAUGUGCAGCUUUCUCAACAGUCAGACGUUAAAGCUAUGGCUGGAGUGAGCAUGGAUAGCUUGGCACAGCCUCAAGCCCCGGUUGCAGUGGUUACCGGAGCAUCGAGGGGGAUUGGGCGAGCCAUAGCUGUGGCUCUUGGCAAAGCAGGGUGCAAGGUAGUUGUGAACUAUGCCAAGUCAGGCAUGGAAGCUGAAGAAGUGCGCAUAGAGAUCGAGGAGUCCGGUGGCACUGCCAUCACCUUUUCAGCCGAUGUCUCCAUUGAAGCCGAGGUUGAAACCAUGAUGAGAGCGGCUGCGACGACAGUGAUGAUGAAGAGGAAGAAGGUACAGAGAAGAAUCAUCAACAUCGCCUCAGUUGCCGGGAUGACCGGCAACAUUGGCCAGGCCAACUACUGCGCCGCCAAGGCCGGGGUGAUUGGAUUGACCAAGGCCAUGGCCCGGAAAUACGGUGGCAGAAACAUAAAUGUGAAUGCUGUUUCCCCGGGCUGGGUCGCGUCUCACAUGACCGCAAAACUAGGCGACCACAUCGAGCGAAAGGCGCUCGAGACAAAUACCAUUAGAAGAUGGACUAUUGCAAUGGCAUUCGGCAAGCCAGAGGAGAUCGCUCGACUGGUGGAGUUCUUGGCUGUUCAUCCGGCUGCGAGUAAAUUGAAACCUAUUCUCCACGCCAAAUCAUUUACUAACGACAAAGGACUGAAAGAUAUAAAAGGACUGAACCUGUUAUAG